UCUUUCGUCGUAUUUGAAUUUAUACUCUUCCAGUCUAUCGAUAAUUGUUUUUGGUUUCAUUGGAGAGAAAGAAACAAUAACUACUUCCAAUGGCGUCGUGUGCUUCUGCGCCAGUGAUGGAUGAUUGAAAGCUAUGCUUCCUGAUGAUUUGCCAUUGUUCUGCGACAACGUUUGCUCACUUAGAUGCUACAAUUGUGCUUUCUAGACAGGUAAACCAUUAUUUUCUAUAGAUUUUGUUGGUUAUAUGUAGAUCUGGUUGGGUGAAACUAUCUUUUUUUUUUAUGAUGGUUGAGUCAUUUAGACCUGUUUGUCGCAUUCUACCCAUUGACAUGUCUCUUUUAGUUUUUACGUAAUAUUGUUCGCUUUUUGUGAUUUUUUAACAGCCCGAA